rnacentral:sRNA from 1 species
CCCAACCAAAUACUAACCAAGCACAACCCUGCUUAGCUUCUGAGAUCAGAAGAGAUCAGGUGUGUUCAGGGUGGUAUGGCC